GAUGAACGCUAGCGGCAGGCCUAACACAUGCAAGUCGAGGGAGAAGCCCUUUCGGGGGCAGAAACCGGCGCACGGGUGCGUAACGCGUAUGCAACCUACCUUUCACAGGGGGAUAGCCCGAAGAAAUUUGGAUUAAUACCCCAUAAUAUUGUUGGAUGGCAUCAUCUGGCAAUUAAAGCUACGACGGUGGAAGAUGGGCAUGCGUCCUAUUAGCUAGUUGGAGUGGUAACGGCACCCCAAGGCUACGAUAGGUAGGGGUCCUGAGAGGGAGAUCCCCCACACUGGUACUGAGACAGGGACCAGACUCCUACGGGAGGCAGCAGUGAGGAAUAUUGGUCAAUGGUCGGAAGACUGAACCAGCCAUGCCGCGUGCAGGAAGAAUGCCUUAUGGGUUGUAAACUGCUUUUAUAUGGGAAGAAUAAGGCGUACGUGUACGUUGAUGACGGUACCAUAUGAAUAAAGC
rnacentral:rRNA from 1 species